AGCUUGCUCUUUCCGGAAUUGAGUGGCAAACGGGUGAGUAACACGUAAACAACCUGCCUUCAGGAUGGGGACAACAGACGGAAACGACUGCUAAUACCGCAUGACGCAUAGAGGUCGCAUGAUCUUUAUGCCAAAGAUUUAUCGCUUCAAGAUGGCCUCGCGUCUGAUUAGCUGGUUGGCGGGGUAACGGCCCACCAAGGCGACGAUCAGUAGCCGGACUGAGAGGUUGAACGGCCACAUUGGGACUGAGACACGGCCCAAACUCC
rnacentral:rRNA from 1 species